GUGCUUGUCCAGGGAUAAAUCAAACGAUCUUGCUGCAUUGCAGUGGCUGGAGAAAGAACUUGAAAUGCUGCAACGUGUCUAAACACAGGUAUCUGGCUAUUCGUUUCGUGAUUUUUUAAUUUUUCUUGCAAAGAUAUUGACGUAGAGCUGGUGCUUGUCGAGGGAUAAGUCAAGUGAUCUUGCUGCAUUGAAGGAACUUGAAACGUUGCAGGUUGUUUAGCAGCGGUGAACUGAUCAGGCUCGAGAAUCCAUAAUCUGUCCUUGAUGGAAACGAAGGUUGGUCCACUUCUGCAGAAACCUCAGGGUCUUUCAAAUGAGGAUGCUCUUGCAGUGUACAGAAGAAUGCAACGUCAGGGAUUGAAACCGGCCAUUGGCAUUGUUGUUGGUGCUCUCAAGGUAUGUAGAAGCAUGAGAGAUCUACAACUAGGCAGGAGAAUUCACAGGGAUGUUUCCGAGACAGGUGACUUCUCAAACAUUAUCGUCGCCAACAUCCUGCUCGAUCUGUAUGCGAAAUGCGGAAGCAUGAUAGAUGCUUGUGGAACAUUUGACAGCAUGCCGCAUCGCGAUGUUGUCUCCUGGAAUUCGAUCAUACAGGGAUAUGCACAGAGUGGAAACGGUGACAUCGCUCUACAGUUGUUUGCUCGUAUGGAAGACGAAGGGUACAAACCGGAUCGAGUAUCAGUUCUUGGUGCUCUCAAGGCUUGUUCCAGCUUGAUAGAGAAGGAUUCGGGGCAGGCUUUGGAUGGUCGACGGGAGGUAUUCUUAGAGAGGAGCAGGGAGAUUCACAGGAAAGCAGCAAAGCUUGGCUUAGACUCGGAUCUCUUUGUCGCGAGCACCUUGAUUGAUCUUUACGCAAAAUGUGGGAGCUUGACAGAGGCUCGUCGAGUUUUCGAAGGAAUGAGCCAUCGUAGUGUGGUGACAUGGAACUGCAUGAUUCUGGGGUAUGCCAGCAGCGGCGAGGGUGGUGAAGCUCUCGAUAUCUAUGCUCGAAUGCGUCGUGGAGACACUCCACCGGAUGCUUUAACUUUCAUCGCAGCACUGAAAGCUUGUUGCUGUCUCGCAGACGUGGAACUUGGGACAGUUGUUCAUGGUGAAGAAGAAACGCAAGUCUUGAAGAUUCAGAGCUUGGAAAAAGGAAGGGCCGUUCACUUGGAAGCUGGUGAGCACUCGUCAAACAUCUUAGUGACCAACACACUCGUGGAGUUCUAUGCCAAGUGUGGGAGCAUGGUGGAGUCUCGCAGUUUCUUCGACAGUAUUGAACGUCCAGACGUGGUUUCUUGGAACUGCCUCACUCUUGGUUAUGCUCAGAACGGCAAAGGCGAGCAAGCUCUUGAGAUAUUCUUUAGCAUGGAUGAGAAUGGUUGCGCUCCAGAUCGUGUCACAGUUCUUGCUGCACUAAAGGCCUGCGUCACCUUGGCUGAGAAGGAACAGGGCCAGAUUGUCGACGGAGGCGUCGUUAAGCUUCGGGCUUUGCAGAGAGGCAAGGCCGUGCAUGCUCGAGCUCUCGCUUUUGUGGACGGAGAAGACCUCUCUGUUCAUAAUGCUCUCGUUGACAUGUACGCCAAGUGUGGAAGCAUGGUGGAUGCUUGGCUGGUUUUCCAAGAUAUGGUGGUGCGAGAUGUGAUAUCUUGGACGGGGAUAAUCCUGGGGCAUGCUUGCAGCGGCCAGCACAAGCUUGUCUUACAAUCGUUCGAAAGCAUGCAAGAGGAAGGUGUUAAGGCAGAUCAUGUCACUGCUACUACUGCAUUUAAGGCUGUUGCGACUCUAGCGGAGAAUGAAGAUCGCAAGCUUGUGAAGAAAUGGCUGAAAAAAGGCAGAGCUCUCCACUUGCAAGUCGCAGGGAUUUGCGAACUGGAUGUCUACUUUGCUAGUGUCCUGGUGGAUAUGUAUACGAAUUGUCGAAGCAUGGAGGAUGCUCGGGGAGUCUUCGACAGCAUCAAAGGCCAGGACCUUGUUCUUUGGAACUCCAUGAUCUUGGGAUACAGUCAGUGUGGAGAACCCAAGCGAGCUCUGGAGUUUUACACUCGGUUGCUGCAAGAGAAAAGCUUGGAACCGGACGGGGUGACUUACGUUGCUGUUCUCAAAGCCUGCGCCAGCCUUGCAGCACUGGACUUCGGGCAGCAGAUUCACGUCCAAGCUUGCAGCGCUGGACUGGAUACAGAGCCAUCGGUGGGAAGCUCUCUCGUUAGCUUCUACGGGAGGUGUGGAAGCAUGGCCGAAGCCGAGGAGGCGUUUGAGGCAAUCACGGACAAGACGGUGGUGGCAUGGAGUGCUCUCAUGGCGGGAUACAGCAGCCAGGGCGACAGCCUGCGGGUCUUUGAGCUCUUCGAGGCCAUGAAGCGUGAACGAGUGCGUCCAGACGGCGUCACCUUUGUCUCGGUGCUCACGGCAUGCAGCCACGCCGGGCUGGUUGACAAGGGACGCGAGUUCUUCGAGGCCAUGAGCAGCGAGUAUGGAGUGGCUCCAAACGUCCAGCACUACACUUGCUUGGUGGAUCUUCUGUGCCGGGCAAAUCGGCUAGACGAAGCGCUCAAGACCGUGGAGGCGAUGCCUUGCAAGGCGGACGCGGUGCUGUGGACGGCGCUGUUAAGUUCAUGCCUCAAGUGGAGAGAUGUGGAGCUUGGCAGGAUGGCUUUCCAGUCGGUUCUCAAGCUCGACGACGGAACAGGCUCCGCGUACUCUCUCAUGUCCAACAUCUAUGCGCGAGGUGAGUCGGAUUUACAGCUCCAAGACAAAGCUCCAUAGUCAUGGGAAACAGUCAUGGGAACGACUUAAUGCUCGACUGACUGACGCUACUGUUGGAGAGAAACGACAUGUUUUACUUCACUUCCAUCUCAGGCUGAGCUUUCUCCGCUGUUAAGUCGGACACUUUCGGCUGCUGGCAAUUCCUGAAACGUCGGGUCACGGUAUUCGAUAGGCGCUGGUAUAUCCCGCACAAAGGAACAAAAACAAGGUGAGACCCCGUUUUGACCCGCAUUUUAAAACCGUAACGAUGGCAACAUCUCCUUGAAUGGAUAGACACCAGCACAGCAGCAGCCAUCCAUGGAAGAAGAGCGCUUGAACGUGGAUGAUGGUGUGCCUUGGAUCAACGUAGCUAGUGGAAGCAAGCAAGUUAAAAAAAUGGAAGAACGGGGUUUGCGGACAUGGUAAAAAGCUCGCUCGCGGUGGUGUAGUAACUUUUGGGCGCCACAAGGACAUCGAUGUUGUUUGUGUUGGAAAUGUGUUUUUUCGUUUCUUCAGAUGGCCCGGGAGAUGUCUUCCAUCCGUCCACAGUGCGAUUCAUGCACCAGCAGUGGGCAUCAACACACUCACACACCAAAAAAAAAGAGGGAAAAGAACACCGUAGAUGCCUCGAAAAAGGAAGGCAUUCACCAAUUUGGAAGGAGCUCGCUCGAGCUUGAUCAAGCUUCCAAGCGUGAAGAAUCGUUUCCUUCCAUCCAUCAGACUUUAUGGUCUCUCCGUGAUCCGUGAUCCGUGAUCCGUGAAACACUUCCAGUCAAAAGUACAAAUGCUUCUUU